UUGGUGAGGUAAUGGCUCACCAAGGCGACGACGGGUAGCCGGCCUGAGAGGGCGACCGGCCACACUGGGACUGAGACACGGCCCAGACUCCUACGGGAGGCAGCAGUGGGGAAUAUUGCACAAUGGGCGAAAGCCUGAUGCAGCGACGCCGCGUGAGGGAUGACGGCCUUCGGGUUGUAAACCUCUUUCAGCAGGGACGAAGCGCAAGUGACGGUACCUGCAGAAGAAGCACCGGCUAACUACGUGCCAGCAGCCGCGGUAAUACGUAGGGUGCGAGCGUUGUCCGGAAUUAUUGGGCGUAAAGAGCUCGUAGGCGGUUUGUCGCGUCGACUGUGAAAACCUACAGCUUAACUGUGGGCUUGCAGUCGAUACGGGCAGACUUGAGUUCGGUAGGGGAGACUGGAAUUCCUGGUGUAGCGGUGAAAUGCGCAGAUAUCAGGAGGAACACCGGUGGCGAAGGCGGGUCUCUGGGCCGAUACUGACGCUGAGGAGCGAAAGCGUGGGGAGCGAACAGGAUUAGAUACCCUGGUAGUCCACGCCGUAAACGGUGGGAACUAGGUGUGGGGGACUUCCACGUCCUCCGUGCCGUAGCUAACGCAUUAAGUUCCCCGCCUGGGGAGUACGG
rnacentral:rRNA from 1 species